UGAUUGUCCAAACGCAAUUCUUGUGUAAAUACGACAACAAGAAAUGUGUGGGGACAUCGUU
rnacentral:pre_miRNA from 1 species